rnacentral:rRNA from 1 species
CCUACGGGGGGCUGCAGUGGGGAAUAUUGGACAAUGGGGGGAACCCUGAUCCAGCCAUGCCGCGUGUGUGAAGAAGGCCCUCGGGUUGUAAAGCACUUUCAGUGAGGAAGAACGCCUGGUGGUUAAUACCCAUCAGGAAAGACAUCACUCACAGAAGAAGCACCGGCUAACUCCGUGCCAGCAGCCGCGGUAAUACGGAGGGUGCGAGCGUUAAUCGGAAUUACUGGGCGUAAAGCGCGCGUAGGUGGCUUGAUAAGCCGGUUGUGAAAGCCCCGGGCUCAACCUGGGAACGGCAUCCGGAACUGUCAAGCUAGAGUGCAGGAGAGGAAGGUAGAAUUCCCGGUGUAGUGGUGAAAUGCGUAGAGAUCGGGAGGAAUACCAGUGGCGAAGGCGGCCUUCUGGACUGACACUGACACUGAGGUGCGAAAGCGUGGGUAGCAAACAGGAUUAGAUACCCUUGUAGUC